rnacentral:rRNA from 1 species
AUUGAACGCUGGCGGCAUGCCCUACACAUGCAAGUCGAACGGCAGCACGGGUGCUUGCACCUGGUGGCGAGUGGCGAACGGGUGAGUAAUACAUCGGAACACGUCCUGUAGUGGGGGAUAGCCCGGCGAAAGCCGGAUUAAUACCGCAUACGAUCUACGGAUGAAAGCGGGGGACCUUCGGGCCUCGCGCUGUAGGGUUGGCCGAUGGCUGAUUAGCUAGUUGGUGGGGUAAAGGCCUACCAAGGCGACGAGCAGUAGCUGGUCUGAGAGGACGACCAGCGACCCUGGGACUUGACCACGGCCCAGGCUCCUGCGGGACGCAGCAGUGUGCAAUUUUGGACAAUGGGCGAAAGCCUUGUCCAGCAAUGCCGCGUGUGUGAAGAAGGCCUUCGGGUUGUAAAGCACUUUUGUCCGGAAAGAAAUCCUUGGCCCUAAUACGGUCGGGGGAUGACGGUACCGGAAGAAUAAGCACCGGCUAACUACGUG